rnacentral:rRNA from 1 species
UACAGAGGUCUCAAGCGUUGUUCGGAUUCAUUGGGCGUAAAGGGUGCGUAGGCGGCGCGGUAAGUCGGGUGUGAAAUCUCGGAGCUUAACUCCGAAACUGCAUUCGAUACUGCCGUGCUUGAGGACUGGAGAGGAGACUGGAAUUUACGGUGUAGCGGUGAAAUGCGUAGAUAUCGUAAGGAAGACCAGUGGCGAAGGCGGGUCUCUGGGCAGUAACUGACGCUGAGGAACGAAAGCGUGGGUAGCGAACAGG